rnacentral:rRNA from 1 species
AUUGAACGCUGGCGGCAUGCUUUACACAUGCAAGUCGAACGGUAACAGGCCGCAAGGUGCUGACGAGUGGCGAACGGGUGAGUAAUGCAUCGGAACGUGCCCAGUCGUGGGGGAUAACGCAGCGAAAGCUGCGCUAAUACCGCAUACGAUCUCUGGAUGAAAGCGGGGGACCGAAAGGCCUCGCGCGAUUGGAGCGGCCGAUGUCAGAUUAGGUAGUUGGUGGGGUAAAGGCCCACCAAGCCAACGAUCUGUAGCUGGUCUGAGAGGACGACCAGCCACACUGGGACUGAGACACGGCCCAGACUCCUACGGGAGGCAGCAGUGGGGAAUUUUGGACAAUGGGCGCAAGCCUGAUCCAGCAAUGCCGCGUGCAGGAAGAAGGCCUUCGGGUUGUAAACUGCUUUUGUACGGAACGAAACGGUCCGGGUUAAUACCCUGGGCUAAUGGCGGUACCGUAAGAAUAAGCACCGGCUUACUACGUGCCAGCAGCCGCAGUAA